rnacentral:tRNA from 1 species
AGCAGUGUAGCAUAGUGGUAAGGAGCAGGACUCAGAACCCAAAGGUUGCUGGUUCGAUUCCCUGUUGCAA